AAGAUUUUAAGUUAUUUAAACUAGUGACCUUCAAAGUCACCAUUAAAAGAUUCCCUUUUAAAUCUUA
rnacentral:tRNA from 1 species